rnacentral:lncRNA from 1 species
UCCCCAGUCUUCAGUAUUGAUUUUUUAUUUGUAAAGACAGGUAGGCUUUCUAAUUCAGAUCCUUUGCUCUAUUUCUUGUCAUUCUUCUGAUUCUGUCCUCUUCAUACUUUGUUGAUGCUCUUUGCCGAGUGGAUUUUGCAAUUUUUAUUGUUUGAUUAGCUGUGUCUUAAAUUUGAGUAAUCAGCUCUUCUUUCGAUUGUUCUUGGUGCUUAACUUUCAUGGGUUGGAUUUGGUUUGUUGAGAUAAAAUCCAAUAUUUUUUUGAUCAUUUUUGGUCAAAUUGGGUUUUAGCUGGCUGAUUUUGCUUUGGGAUUGUCAUUUUUUAUAUUGCGCUGAAAUUUCCGUGUAAUUUUUGUAUUCGUUUGAUGUAUUUGAUGGUUUUGUAAAUUAAAAUUAAAAUAUUUUAAUUGGAUUUUAGAAUGAAUGUGAAAAAAAAAAAGUUUAAAAAUCGAAUCGAACCGAUCGAACCGACCGAACCGACCGAACCGAACCGAACUAAAUCGGUUCGGUUCGAUUCGGUUAUUCCUCUUAUUCGGUUCGGUUCGGUUUGUGUAAAAU